UACGUAGGGUGCUAGCGUUGUCCGGAUUUAUUGGGCGUAAAGAGCUCGUAGGCGGCUUGUUGCGUCGACCGUGAAAACCCGGGGCUCAACUUCGGGCUUGCGGUCGAUACGGGCGGGCUAGAGUUCGGUAGGGGAGACUGGAAUUCCUGGUGUAGCGGUGAAAUGCGCAGAUAUCAGGAGGAACACCGGUGGCGAAGGCGGGUCUCUGGGCCGAUACUGACGCUGAGGAGCGAAAGCGUGGGGAGCGAACAGG
rnacentral:rRNA from 1 species